rnacentral:lncRNA from 1 species
GGUUAUGAGGGCUAUUACGUGCUUCCGGUGGAACAGUACCCAGAGCUGGCAGACAGUAGCAGCAACAUCCAGUUCUUAAGACAGAAUGAGAUGGGAAAGAGGUAACAAAAUAACCUGCUGCCACCUCUUCUCUGGGUGGCUCAGCAGGAGCAACUGUGACCUCCUCUCCUAAGGAGACGAAGACCUAACAGGGGCACUGAGGCCGGGCUGCUUUAGGACCCCAAGUGGCAAGAAAGCUCACAUUUUUUGAGUUCAAAUGCUACUGUCCAAGCGCAAAGUCCCUCAUCCUGAAGUAGACUAGAGCUCGGCCACAAAUUCUGAGGAAAACAAAACUAAAGGAUGAACGAAUGAACCAACGAACGAACGAAAACACACAAAAAUGUUUCAAGGUUCCCCUAAAAUAUGACCCACUUGUUCCGGGUCUAAGGCAGAAAAGAGACACAGAAUAGCCAAAAGGAAAGGAACAGAAAAGAAACACAUUAAAACAACAACAAUGACGACGACAACAACAAAAAGCAAACAAAAAGACAAACACACUGACCGUACAAACAAAGAAAUGAAGACGAGAAGGCCUCACAUCCUAAUACCUCACUCAUUCACACGUGAGCAACACAAAGACAUUCACAAGGGCCGGCAUCACCAGACCAGCUGAGGACGACUCAGACUGACUGUUGGACAAACCACUUGCGACGACGACGUUUUCGUUUAAGCAAAUACAGGUGCAUUUAAAAAAAAAAAAACACGACUUUGGGGGUGAUUUGUGUGUAGCGCCUGGGGAGGGGGGGCACAAAGGCGGAGGAUCGAGCACUGGAAAUACUUUUUAAAGAAAAAGAAAAACACAAGAAAAAAAACAGUAUCAGAAGUCAAAGCGAAACAAUACCGUCCGGCACUUAACUCUCAGGUCCCCACUUAGUCAGGCCUGAGCUAAUUUAUUUGAGCGCAGAGAGUGUAAAAUUUAAUUCAAAAUGGUGGCUAUACUCACUACACAUAAAUCUCAUACUCUUUUUGUCUUUGGAGAUGCCAUUGUGGACAGUAAUACGCAGUUACAGGGUGUAGUCUGUUUAGAUUCCGUAGUUUGUGGGUAUCAGUUACGGUAGAGGUGCACCACUUGUGACUCUGUUGCUAACGGUUACCACUUCCGAUCGCCCUGUACAUACAUAUGCCGUAAGGCACAAUCACUGUUUCAGACUUAAAAGUUAUUAUUAGUGUGUUUGUUUGGUCCAGAAACUGAGACAAUCACAUGACAGUCACCACGAGGAGAGAAAAUUAAAUAAAUAAAUAAAUAAAUAAAAAUAAAUAAAUAAAAACAAAAAAAUUUUAAAAAGCGGAAAAAAAAAACC